UUGGCGGCCGGAUCGAUCUCACGGGUGACGACCAGAUAGUUGCGCAGCGCGAUCGCGUGCAGAUGCUC
rfam:Mycobacterium tusciae strain DSM 44153 NODE_8_length_284263_cov_61.5293, whole genome shotgun sequence.